GUACAGUAUGUGAUCUUACUGAAUAUUGUAGGCAGUUAUAACACAAUGGUUACACAGUAUAUGGGAUCACAGUAUAUGUGGCCACUUCGCGUUGACUGAAAUGUUUUGUAGCACGUGACUCUAUUUUAUAAAGUCAUAUAUAUGUAUGUAAUCUAUAAAUUUAAAAAAUACAUAAAUAGGGGAGCAUGCUCAAAAUUUGAAUCAGUAAAUGGAGAGAUCAGAAAAGUUUGGAGACCUCUGGGUUAGAAUAUAACACUAAUUCCAGCCAGAUAAGGCAGUUACCUUUGCCAUCAUCUGUUCCCUUCCAGUAAAGGUGUGGUGUGGAUGGAACAGUAUAGAUUCAGACCCAUUGCUAGGGACCCCAGCUCACUGCAUAUGUGUCCAGUGCAUUAAGAGGUUUUGUCUAGGGCAAAUAAGUGAUAAUACAUCAUCUAAUGGAAUAUUCUGCAAAUUCUAAAAAGAAUGGAUCAAUUUGAAUUGAUAUGGAAAGAUGUCUGAGAUACAAUAAGUCAAAAAAGCAAGUGAUAGAACAAUGUACAGUGUCAAAUAGACAAAUCAUACACAUGUGCUGUGUAUUCACAGAAACAGGGGCUACCUGUAGAGAGUGGAGAAGGAAAUUUGUUUUUAAUGUACUGUUUAAUAAAAAAAAACAUAAACAUGUAUUUGUUCAAUAUUUAAAAAGUUUUGAAAUGUUUAUCCUCUUUGAAACUCCUUUUAUGAUGUUAUCCUGGAGAAAUAAAGAUAUAAUAACUAUUUUGUAUUAAGUUGAUCAUUGUGACAUUAUAAUGGUGAAAAAUUAGAAAUAACCUAAACAUCUAGCAUUUAGAGAAUGAUUAAUAUUGGGAAAAUGAACUGUAAUAUAAUGCGGUCUUUUAAAAAUCAAGUUUCUGAAAAUUUCACCAGAUGGAGAAAUACUGACAAUAUGCUAAUUAAAUUCACUAUUAAUCUUGAUGUAAAAUCUGUGUUAAUCUCCAUGAUGUUAAAAAUGCAUAGAAAAAUAAAAAGCCUAGAAGAAAAUAUUCCCAAAUGACAACAGAAGUUGCCUCUGGUAGUGAGAUUACAGGAGAUUCUUUAUUUUCUGAACCUUUGUAUUUUCAUAUUCUUUUCACUUUUUUUCUGCAGUAAGCAUGCAUUAUUUUGUAAUGUGAAAGAAAAAGAAAGUAAAAUACUGAGAAAAUUAUGACGUGCAUUCCUGGCAUGAGUCAGGAGCUGAAUUUUCAUGUUUAAAUUAGUUUCAGAAACACAGGAGUGGUUUCUAGGCAACCUGCUUGGGAAAUUAUGUUCAUUUCCAUUGUUGCUGGAGUGUGCGUGAGUGUCUGAAAGAAAAUGUAAGAGACGAACCUUUGCAAAAGCAGACUCCUGCUAAGGAAAAAUAAGCUUUGCCACCCAGUUUUGGUCAUGGGGACUUGAGUUACUGUGACCUCAGAGGCCCCUAGGGGCCUGAUCAUUUUUUUUCUUUCUUUUUUCCUCCAUCUUUUCUUUUCUUUUCUUUCUUUCUUCCUUCCUUUUUCUUUGCUUGCUUUUUUUUUUUUCAAAUGAGUGAUUGAUUUUAAUGAGGAUUGCUAUAGGAUGCUAUAGGAUGCUAUAGGAAUGUCUAAUGUACAGUACAUUAGACAUUCAAGCCUCUGCAUAAGGUGUGGGAAACUGAGAGGGGAGAGAGAAUCAAGCAAAAACCCCCACUCUGUGCCUCUGCUGAGAAUCCAGGGCUGUAAUUGAGGCCGUUGCAAGGCUUUACAAGACGGAUUGUAGCUCAGGAUGUGAAAAGAUUGCCUCAUCAUCAUGCUCCAAUAUGGCUCAGAAAGGCACUGAGAAAACCUAGCCUUAGCUAGGCUAAGAGCCUAGCUUCUGGCCUGGCUUUUACGUGGUCAGCGGAUGUGCGUCCAUCCCCCUGCACUGGUUCCCCUUGUCCUUUCUGUGGCUCUCCUGGAUUCCUCUCGUUCAGCUCCUUGGUGUACAGAGCCUAUGUCAAUGGCAAUGGUGAGGGAAAUUGCCAGAGCCCUGCCCUCCAGGCCUGUCCUUAUUCAUGGGGAUCUGAGAAGAAGAGAUUAGGACCCAGACAUGCACAGAGGAGACCCUGUAAGGACACAAAGAGAAGACAGCCAUCUGCAAGCCAAGAAGAAAGGCCUUGGGGGAAACCAGCCCUGCCCACACCUUGGUCUGGACUUCCAGCUGAUUCUUGGAUGAGCUGGUCCUUAGGCACGGAGGCAGGACUGUGAGAAAAUAAAUUUCUGUUUUUAAUUCA
rnacentral:lncRNA from 1 species